GGGGUCAUUAUGGGGUAUUGUGAUGUCAUUAUGGGGUAUUGGGAUGUCAUUAUGGGGUAUUGGGAUGUCGUUAUGGGGUAUUCUGUUUAGAUUGAUAAGGGGGAAAAACAAUUGUAUUCAGAAUAAGGCUGUAACCUAACAAAAUACAUUCCGAAUCCACUGUAGGUAAGGGUUUGUACAGCUGAAAUUAUGUCAGCUAAACUGUGAGGGUCAGGAGUUUUUCCUGGGCCAGGAAGUAGAAGUUCUGACAUGAGUGGACAUAGAAUACAGUGACAUGCAUUGGUGGAAAAAAUACCCAAUUGUCAUACUUGAGUUCAUUAGGUACACCACCCCGUUCACGAAAAUGGUUCGCUCCUACAGACAGUGAGUCACGUGGCCGUGGCUUGCUAUAUAAAGCAGGCAGACAGGCAUAGAAGCUUUCAGUUACUGUUCAAUUUGAAUGUUAGAAUGGGCAAAACGAGUGACCUAAGCGUCAUUGAGCGUGGUAUGAUCGUCAGUGCCAGGAGCGCAGGUUCCAGUAUCUCAGAAAAAUCCGGCCUCCUGGGCUUUUCACACACGAUAGUGUCUAGGGUUUACCAAGAAUGGUGUCACAAACAAAAACCAUCCAGUCAUGCGAAGUCCUGUGGGCAAAAACAGCUCGUUGAUGAGAGGUCGAAGGAGAAUGACAAGAAUCGUGCAAGUUAACAGGAAAGGCCACAUACAGACAAACAACGACGCAGUAGAACAGUGGUGUGCAGAACUAUAUCUCGGAACGCACAACUUGUCGGUCCUUGUUACGGAUUGGCUAUUUGCAGCAGACGACCACACCGUGUUCCACUCCUAUCAGCUAAAAACAAGAAGAAGCUGCUCCAGUGGGCACGUCAUCAUCAACACUGGACAAUUCAGGAGUGGAAAAACAUUGCCUGGUUCGACGAAUCCCAGUUCCUGUUGCGUCAUGCUGAUGUCAGAGUCAGGAUUUGGCGUAAGCAGCAUGAGUCCAUGACCACAUCCUGCCCGGUGUCAACGGUACCGUCUGGUGGUGUAAUGGUGUGGGGAAUGUUUCCAUGGCACACGUUAGGGUCCCUUGAUACCAAUUGAGCAACAUUUGACUGCCACAUCUUGUAGAGUCCUGCACCAAAUAAUUCAUGAUGUUCUGGAGGCAAAGUACUAGCUGGGUGUACCUAAUAAACUGGCCACUGAUUGUAUACUGUAGGCCUAUGUAGCUUAUACUGUAUUUAUAUUUUGAUGCAUCUUUUUCUCCUUGGGGAUCGAGCUGCUUCCCUGUCUCACCCCACAGCCCCGGGGGAAAGAACUGUAAUUUUAACAGCACACCUGUUUACAUGAAUUUUAUAACAUUGUAUGUUUCCCCAACACACCUCUCUCUGUCUCUCCAUCUCGCUCUCUCACUCUCUCUCUCUCUUCUCUCUCUCUUUCUUUCUUUCUUUCUCUCUCUCUCUGUCUUUCUCCUUCUCUCCCUCUCUCUCUCUCGCUCUCUCUUUCAAUUCAAUUUCAAUUCAGUUCAAUUCAAAGGGCUUUAUUGGCAUGGGGAACAUAUGUUUACAUUGCCAAAGCAAGAAAAAAUAGAUAAUAAACCAAAGUAUUUUUUUUUUUUAAAUGAACAGUAAAUAAACUCAGCAAAUAAAGAAACGUCCCUUUUCAGGACCCUGUCUUUAAAAGAUAAUUAGUAAAAAUCCAAAUAACUUCACAGAUCUUCAUUGUAGCACGUGUAACAACACCUGCACAGGAUCGGUACAUCCGAACAUCACACCUGUGGGACAGGUACAGGAUGGCAACAACAACUGCCCGAGUUACACCAGGAACGCACAAUCCCUCCAUCAGUGCUCAGACUGUCUGCAAUAGGCUGAGAGAGGCUGGACUGAGGGCUUGUAGGCCUGUUGUAAGGCAGGUCCUCACCAGACAUCAAUGGCAACAACGUCGCCUAUGGGCACAAACCCACAGUUGCUGGACCAGAUGCCCAGAGUCCCUGUACCAGUACUUAAUGCAGCUGGUGACCACACCAGAUACUGACUGUUACUUUUGAUUUUGACCCCCCCCUCCUCCUUUGUUCAGGGACACAUUAUUCAAUUUCUGUUAGUCACAUGUCUGGAAGUUAAUUCUGUUUGUCUUAGUUGUUGAAUCUUGUCAUGUUAAUACAAAUAUUUGCACAUGUUAAGUUUGCUGAAAAUAAACACAGUUGACAGUGAGAGGACGUUUAUUUUUUUGCUGAGUUUAUUAGUUCAAGUACAAAAGGGAAAAUAUAUCAACAUAAAUAUGUGUUGUAUUUACAAUGGUGUUUGUUCUUCACUGGUUGCCCUUUUCUUGUGGCAACAGGUCACAAAUCUUGCUGCUGUGAUGGCACACUGUGGUAUUUCACCCAAUGGAUAUGGGAGUUUAUCAAAAUUGGAUUUGUUUUUCAAAUUCUUUUUUGGGUCUCUGUAAUCUGAGGGAAAUAUGUGUCUCUAAUAUGGUCAUACAUUGGGCAGGAGGUUAGGAAGUGCAGCUCAGUUUCCACCUCAUUUUGUGGCACAUAGCCUGUGUUCUCUUGAGAGCUAGGUCUGCCUACAGCGGCCUUACUCAAUAGCAAGGCUAUGCACAUUGAGUCUGUACAUAGUCAAAAUUUGCCUUAAUUUUGGGUCAGUCACAGUGGUCAGGUAUUCUGCCACUGUGUACUCACUGUUAAGGGCCAAAUAGUAUUCUAGUUUGCUAUGUGUUUUAGUAAAAUCUGAUUUUUGUUCAUAACUUUGACAGGAUCUUCUACAUCUGAAAAGGAUCAGGACUUUAAAACUUCUUGUCAAUAGGGGGGCGCUGUUUUCACUUUGUAAAAAAUCGUGCCCAAAUUAAACUGCCUCGUACUCUAUUCUAGAUCAUACUAUAUGCACAUUAUUAUUACUAUUGGAUAGAAAACACUGUGAAGUUUCUAAAACUGUUUGAAUUAUAUCUGUGAGUAAAACAGAACUCAUUUGGCAGCAAACUUCCAUACAGGAAGUGAAAAAUCUGAAAACGAGGCCUGGGCCUGCCUAUUCAACUGGCUUUUAUUUAUCGAUAUGUAUGCACUUCAUACGCCUUCCACUAGAUGUCAACAGGCAGUGGAAGGUGGAAUGGGGUGUCUAGCUUGAUCUGAGGUCGAAUAAGAGCUUUGGAGUGACAGGUCCGGUAUUUUCUUUGUCUUCGAAGGCACGCGGGGGAGCUCGACAUUGUCUUCUGAAAAGCUUUCGGUAUACACGGCGAAUAUCUCCGGCUCUGAUUUUAUUUGAUACAUAUGAUAAUAACAUCAUAAAGUAGGUUUUUUCAACCGAGUUUUAUCAGUUUAUUCAACGUUUAUUGGGACUUUUGGAGUUUUCCGUUCUUUGCGCCAAGAGAGGAUGGGAAUGUUAGCAACCUUGGC